rnacentral:sRNA from 1 species
CGGCCUUGUCUCCGCAUUCCGGGCUCGAAGGCUGUGCGGUGUGACAGGAGCUGCGGCCCCGUCCGGCCCGGGCUGGUAUCACCUGAUUUUGAUACAACAGCAGGAAGCUUGUUCCCAGCCUACCAGAAACACUACCACCAAAACCGGGCGAGACAUUCAAGUCGAAAAUCUACCACCUCCAAGUUUCCACAUCUAACUUUUGAGAGUCCGCAAUCUUCCAGUUCAGAGACAUUGAGGAUCCCCUUAAUCCGAGAGUGCCCCAGUCAAUCAGAAAAUGAUGUUUCCAGAAGACCCUUAGUUCCAGUGCUCAGUCCCCAAAGCUGUGGGAACAUGUCAGUGCAGGCACUUCAGAGCUUACCUUAUGUGUUCAUUCCACCUGAUAUCCAGACCCCAGAGUCAUCGUCUGUGAAGGAAGAACUCAUUCCCCAAGAUCAGAAGGAAAACAGCCUUCUAAGCUGCACUCUUCACACUGGCACUCCUAAUAGCCCAGAGCCUGGACCUGUUCUGGUUAAAGACACCCCCGAGGACAAGUAUGGAAUAAAGGUCACAUGGAGGAGACGACAGCACCUGCUUGCUUACCUCAGGGAGAGAGGGAAGCUGAGCAGAAGCCAAUUCCUUGUGAAAAGCUGACUGCCAUCAGUAAUCUCAAUAGAAAAGAGAUACGUUUUCUGGAGUCAUAAAGGAAUUCAGUUCCCAGGGGCUUUUGUUUGUUUGUUUUUGUUUUUUUUCAAGAUGUAAUAUUGCUCUGUUGCCCAGGCUGGAGUGCAGUGGUAUGAUCUCACCUUACUGCAACCUCCACUUCCUGGGUUCAAGCAAUUCUCCUGCCUCAGCCUCCGCAGUACCUGGGAUUACAGGCACCAGCCACCAUGCCUGGAUAAUUUUUUUGUAUUUUUAGUAGAGACGGGGUUACUCCGUGUUGGCCAGGCUGGUCUCAAAAUCCUGACCUCAAGUCAUCUGCUGGCCUUGACCUUACAAAGUGCUGGCCCAGCCAAGAUAUGUUUUCUAAGAUACUUUGUGUCAUGAACAGUUCAGUUUAGUGUCAUGAACUAUUCGCUUCAUAUUUUUCUUCCAUUAACUGUUUAAAUUUUUAAAAUAUCUUGUAGUAACUCUUUAAAAUGUAUGUAAGUAAAUGGCUGCAGAAAGUUUUUUUAGAGAAUCCUGCCUCCGUCAGUGAUACAGCAAUAUUACCCCAUCCACUAAAGGUCUUUGUUUCCUUACCCACUAUUCGUUAAUCCUUAAUCACCUCAUUCAAACUAAUUCAUUCUGCAUUUUUGAGUACCAACUCUUGUCAGGCUCAGUGGCAGCUUCUAUGACCUGAUGGAUGGAAAAAAAUCGAACUCUGUGACUCUAUGGUUGACUGCCACCUCUGCAACCUUGACUCAUUUGCUGAAAAGGCAAGAAGAAGAAAGGGCAGCAAGCCCGGUUUUAGGGACUACAUGAGAUGAGGGGAGAUAAAGGGGACAUAGAUGAGUUCUUUAGGAUUGCUUGUGUUUUGAGUUUUUGUUUCUAACUGAAGAAAUCUGUCAAUAUUAAAUAGGGUGGGAAAAUGGUUUCUUAGAAUAACUGUUCAACUGUGUGUAAAUAAGGAAAGUUUUCAAUGAGUAUUACUUAUUGUAAUUAAUGC